rnacentral:rRNA from 1 species
UACCUGCAGCUCAAGUGGUGACCGCUAUUAUUGGGCCUAAAACGUUCGUAGCCGGUCUGAUAAAUGCUUAGGUAAAUCGUGUAGCUUAACUAUACGAACUCUGGGUAGACUGUCAGACUUGAGACCGGGAGAAGCUAGAGGUACUCCUGGGGUAGAGGUGAAAUUCUGUAAUCCUAGGGGGACCACCAGUGGCGAAGGCGUCUAGCUAGAACGGGUCUGACGGUGAGGGACGAAGCCCUGGGGCGCAAACCGGAUUAGAUACCCGGGUAGUCCAGGGUGUAAACGCUGCUUGCUUGAUGUUAGUCGGGCUUCGAGCCCGAUUAGUGUCGGAGCGAAGGUGUUAAGCAAGCUGCCUGGGAAGUAUGGUCGCAAGACUGAAACUUAAAGGAAUUGGCGGGGAGCACAGCAACGGGUGGAGCGUGCGGUUU